CCUACGGGUGGCAGCAGUGAGGAAUAUUGGUCAAUGGCCGAGAGGCUGAACCAGCCAAGUCGCGUGAGGGAAGACGGCCCUACGGGUUGUAAACCUCUUUUGUCGGGGAGCACAGAGAGUCACGUGUGACUCAUUGAGAGUACCCGAAGAAAAAGAAUCGGCUAACUCCGUGCCAGCAGCCGCGGUAGUACGGAGGAUGCGAGCGUUAUCCGGAUCUGUGGGGUUAAAAGGGUGCGCAGGGGGAGGUGCAAGUCAGCGGUCAAAUGGCGGGGCUCAACCCCGUACUGCCGUUGAAACUGCAUCCCUUGAGUGCGCGAGAAGUAAGCGGAAUGCGUGGUGUAGCGGUGAAAUGCAGAGAUAUCACGCAGAACUCCGAUUGCGAAGGCAGCAUACCGGCGCGCAACUGACGCUCAUGCACGAAAGCGUGGGUAUCGAACAGGAUUAGAUACCCUGGUAGUC
rnacentral:rRNA from 1 species